rnacentral:rRNA from 1 species
UUCCAGACUCCUACGGGAGGCAGCAGUGGGGAAUAUUGCACAAUGGGGGAAACCCUGAUGCAGCGACGCCGCGUGAGUGAAGAAGCGUUUCGGCGCGUAAAGCUCUGUCAGCGGGGAAGAAACACGGUUCGCGAGAGCCGCGGACGGUACCCGACCAAGAAGCCCCGGCUAACUACGUGCCAGCAGCCGCGGUAAUACGUAGGGGGCAAGCGUUAUCCGGAUUUACUGGGUGUAAAGGGAGCGUAGACGGCGAUACAAGUCUGAAGUGAAAGCCCGGGGCUCAACCCCGGGACUGCUUUGGAAACUGUGUUGCUGGAGUGCUGGAGAGGCAAGCGGAAUUCCUAGUGUAGCGGUGAAAUGCGUAGAUAUUAGGAAGAACACCAGUGGCGAAGGCGGCUUGCUGGACAGUAACUGACGUUGAGGCUCGAAAGCGUGGGGAGCAAACAGGAUUAGAUACCCGGGUACC